rnacentral:rRNA from 1 species
GACGAACGCUGGCGGCGUGCCUAAUACAUGCAAGUCGAACGCAGUGGGGACGGGUGAGUAACACGUGGGUAACCUCCCAUCAGAGGGGAUAACACUUGGAAACAGGUGCUAAACCGAUACUGAUGGAUGGACCCGCGGUGCAUUAGCUAGUGGGUGAGGUAACGGCUCACCAAGGCCACGAUGCAUAGCCCACCUGAAGGGGUGAUCGUCGCCACUGGGACGUAGACACGGGCCAGACUCCUACGGGAGGCAGCGUUAGGGAAUCGUCGGCAAUGGACGAAAAUCUGACCGAGGAGUGCCGCGCGAGUAAAGAAGGUUUUCGGAUCGUAAAACACUGUUGUAAGAAAAGAAUUAACUAACCAGAAAGGCACGGCUAACUACGUGCCAGCAGCCGCGGUGAUUC